AACGAACGCUGGCGGCAUGCCUAACACAUGCAAGUCGAACGAGAUCUUCGGGUCUAGUGGCGCACGGGUGCGUAACGCGUGGGAAUCUGCCCUUUGGUUCGGAACAACAGUUGGAAACGACUGCUAAUACCGGAUGAUGACGGAAGUCCAAAGAUUUAUCGCCAGAGGAUGAGCCCGCGUAGGAUUAGCUAGUUGGUGUGGUAAAGGCGCACCAAGGCGACGAUCCUUAGCUGGUCUGAGAGGAUGAUCAGCCACACUGGGACUGAGACACGGCCCAGACUCCUACGGGAGGCAGCAGUGGGGAAUAUUGGACAAUGGGCGAAAGCCUGAUCCAGCAAUGCCGCGUGAGUGAUGAAGGCCUUAGGGUUGUAAAGCUCUUUUACCCGGGAUGAUAAUGACAGUACCGGGAGAAUAAGCUCCGGCUAACUCCGUGCCAGCAGCCGCCGUAA
rnacentral:rRNA from 1 species